GAUGAACGCUGGCGGCGUGCCUAAUACAUGCAAGUCGAGCGAAAGGACGAGGAGCUUGCUUUUCUGAUGUUAGGGGAGGGGGGGUGAGUAACACGUGGAUAACCUACCUAUAAGACUGGGAUAACUUCGGGAAACCGGAGAUAAUAGCGGAUAAUAUUUUGAACCGCGUGGUUCAAAGGUGAGAGACGGUCUUGCUGGAACUUAUAGAUGGAUACGGGCUGCAUGAGCUGGUUGGUAAGGUAACGGCCUACCAAGGCUACGCUGCAUUGCCGACCUGAGAGGGUGAUAGGCCACCCUGGAACUUAGACACCGUCCAGACGCCUACGGGAGGCAGCAGAAUGGAAUCGUACGCAAUGGUCGGAAGCCUUACGGAGCAACGCCGCGUGAGUGAUGAAGGCCUUCGGAUCGUAAAACUCUGUUAUGAGUUAUGAACAUAUGUGUAAUUAACCGUGCCCAGCUUGACGGUACCUAAUCAGAAAGCAACGGCUAACUACGUG
rnacentral:rRNA from 1 species